AUUGAACGCUGGCGGCAGGCCUAACACAUGCAAGUCGAACGAGUGGCGGACGGGUGAGUAAUGGCUGGGAAACUGCCUGAUGGAGGGGGAUAACUACUGGAAACGGUAGCUAAUACCGCAUACCAUCGGAUGUGCCCAGAUGGGAUUAGCUACUAGGUGGGGUAAAGGCUAACCUAGGCGACGAUCCCUAGCCGGUCUGCGAGGAUGACCAGCCAGACUGGAACUGAGACACGGUCCAGACUCCUACGGGAGGCAGCAUUGGGGAAUAUUGCACAAUGGGCGCAAGCCUGAUGCAGCCAUGCCGCGUGUAUGAAGAAGGCCUUCGGGUUGUAAAGUACUUUCAGCGGGGAGGCGUUACCCGCAGAAGAAGCACCGGCUAACUCCGUGCCAGCCGCCGCGGUAAUUC
rnacentral:rRNA from 1 species